CUUGACUUUAGGACUUAUUAUACAGUUAUAAUAAUUAAGUAGUAGACAUAAAGAUCAAUGGAAAAGGAUAGAAUCUAAAAUGGACCCAUAUAUAUAUAGUCGUUUGAUUUUGACAAAGGUAUAAGGGUAAUUCAAUGAAGAGACACUGUUUUCAACAAACAGAUGGUGCUGGCAUAACUAGACAUCAAUAUGGGGGAAAAAAUGAACCUCAGCCUUUAUAUUAUCAUUUGCAUAAAUGAACUUAAAACGGAUCAUUGUCUUAAAUGUAAAAGCUAAAGCUUUUAAAUUUUUAGAAGAAAAUAUAGGAGAAAUUCUUUCUCAUAGCAAGUUAGGCAAAAUUUCCUGAAUGUAAAAAAAAAAAAAAAAAAAGAGUAAGAAAAACAUUAUAAAAUGGAGUUCAUUAAGAUCAUUAUGGUCACCCUUACCUGACCUCUUAAGAAGCUAGAGUCCCUUCUUGUGAAACUGAUCAUUUCAAGAGGAAAGAAUGAGACCUAAAGAAUAGAAGUUACUUAACAAUACAGCCCACAUCAACCACUAGAGUGAAAUCCCCUUUGCGGAUCUGUCUGGUCAAAGUACACUCAUAUUCUAUCAGUUUAGGACACUUCUAGUUUCAAGAAGAGGGUCAAGGAUCACUGGGCAGUAAAAUAACAUUGCAACAUUAAAACAGAUUUAUAUGAGUUAGAGAAAGUCAUGAUGCAAUUGCUGUACCACAUGAUUCUGUUUUUUGUGGGUCCUUCUAAUUAAUAUAUAUACUAAAAAAAAGCUUGUUUCUAUAUUUUUUAUUGAAAACUUAUGGAAAUGAUAAUAGUUUAAGCUGAUCUUUCUCACAUUUUUGGGGUCCUUUCCUGGUUGGUCUCCAAAGUACAGCUCCAGACAACAGCUUUUCAAAAUGCGGACUACAAUUCAGAAGUGGACCAUGGCAGCAACUCACUGGCAUGGAAACUCUUUGGUAAAUGUCAUGGACAUCAACAACAGUGGGAAAUACAAAGUUUUGGACUUGACCAUCAGAUCCCGGGAAUGUACUGGACACAAUCUCUUGAGACCCUCCUAGAGGACAAUGGCUGCAGAUAACGCCUCCUCUGUGACAGAGUU
rnacentral:lncRNA from 1 species